CCAUCGUACAAACACUAGCAAAACCCAAACAACAGCAAUCGUAAAUCGACCCCAAAUAUGACGACUUAACCCGUUCAACAGUGUCGACCCGAUAAACCGAUUCCACCAGCCCCAACCCUUUCGUUUUCUCUUCACACGCAUCCCACUCAAAUUCGCGAGGAAGAACCUCGAAGCUUCUAGAAAAAAAGCUUAGGUGUCGUCUCCAACGGUUCAACCCCGCGAUUCUCGGAGGAUAAGGUACGAAUUCGUAUAAAGGUGGGUGAAUUUCAUUGGUUUUGGGGGGGGGGGGGGGGGGGGGAUUUCUACCUUUCUUCUUCCUAUUAGUUGAAACCAAUUCGAAAUUCUCCUAAGAAUAAAAAAUUCGUACAAGUUUGUUAGCUGGAAAUUCCUAUCCGAAACUUGAAUUCAAAAGAUCCUAUUUCUUAAGUCCCUAAAAUACCCCAAUCUUUUUAAGUAUAUAAGAACCCAUUUUGGGUCACUGUAGGGGAGGUUUUCUUUUGUUGUUGAAAAAUUCGGAGAAGGCUAGGAAAUUGGCGAGUUGGAAAUUUUGGGUUCGAAGGAGGAGGAUUAGAAACUUCAAGCUAGUUCGAAAUUUGGGGUUGGGAAUUUUGAAAGUAAAGAGUUUGUUUUGCUAAAAGUUUCUCGUACAUUUUUCUGGGAAGCUAGUUGAUUGAUUGGGAGUUCCCAAGUCGACAACAUAAGCUCCCAGCGGGGACAAUUUUGCUGAUAGCUCGAGUCCCGUUUUGCUGCCCCGAAAAAGUGUAUCGCUGUCAAGUUGCGUGUCAUAACGUAUUCCUGAUUACGAAGGGUAUUACCUACAUCGUACAGCUGCAUAUAGCUCCAGGACAACUAAGUUUUGAUGCAAUAUGUUUGUAUCUCGAUGGUAUAGGAUUCAAACUGACUUUUGCCUCUUAAUGCACUGUUUUAUAUCAAAUAUAUGUUGUAUGUAUGAAAGCCUGUAAUGCGACAAUCAUGCUAGUGAUUUGGUUGCUGAUACCAUAUAUUCGUAUUUUCCCCCCCUUUCUUUUUCUAUUUAUGGACUCAGAGGACCUUCUAUUUGCAAUGAGCCUAACAUCUUUUUGACUGAUUAGGUUGAUUUAUCGGUAUUAAUCCACUAACCUGCUGUAUUACGUUUCACUUAUUUAAAUCUAUUAAAAUCAAGUUGAACUUAUUGUUUCUUCCUGCAAAAACUGGUAAUCUCGUGUAGACAUUAAAUUUUAUUAAUAUAUAAAAAAGUAGAGUAAACUUAGAAAAUAGCAAUUAACUUUAUUCUAGAAUUUCCUUUUUGGUCAGACACUUUGAUUGGUUAUUCUUUGUUGGUGUUGCUCAUGAUUAAUCUAGAAUGACAUUCUAUUAAGUCUAUUGAUUUGUCAAAUUCCAUAAAUAAAUACUUACUCUUGAUUACUUUCUUUGAUGUAUGUGAAAUGAAUUCGGGGCAUCACGUUUGAAGUCCAAAUGGGUUCUCACCCCAUUGCAUUUUAUAACGGGCCAAUGAGGCCAACCGCCUCGAGUCAUUCAUUUUUGAAGAAGAAAAUCAUUAGCGAGAGUGGAUUAAAGUCAUAUCAUUUGAAGCGGCUAUGAGACCCCAAAGUCCCAUUUAUUAUUUUUGAUUAUUUACUUAUUGUCGUCUUCAUUUAUUUAUUUACUUCCUUAUUUAUUCAUUUGAGUCUCGAAACCAAAGUUGUACUUAAUACAGGUGAAGCGAGACUCGAGCUAAAGGCUCGAAAACAUAGAAUUUAGGAUAGGUGGAAGACGGGCUAAAAGUCCAAUAUCUAUAGAUUAGGACAGGGUUAUCGAUUUGGGCCUAAUGGCUCAAGUCCUUCUACUUCUACCCUUUCCCUUUUACUUUUGCUAAUUUUUUUUAUGUGCUUUCUUGCGAACCUAGUUAAAAUUCCUAACUAAGUCGCUAAGAAUUGGUUUUGCAUAAACCUUAAAAAUAUUUUCUAAACAAAUUACUUUUUUCAACAAAUCAUUAUUUUUUCAAAGUUAGUCAAAAGUGUUUUUAAACCGAUCGGAUAACCGUAAGUUAGCGGAACAAUUUAGAUACCUAACACCUUCCUAAAACGUGAAUAGGAACCAAUCAUUCAGACUCUCUUAACUUAAAACGAUUUUUUUUUUGAAUCGUUUGAAGUAACUCUCAAAAGGUUUCUUAAUUCCUUUUCAAAAUUAAGUGGCGAUUCUUCUCAAAAGUCAAAAUUUCUCUGCAAAACAGCAUCAUCCAAGGGUGGCUCCCUACAUACUGCGGGUGCUAGAAGUACUCUUGCUGUGAUGAAAAAAAUGGAAAAAGUAAAGGGUAGAGAAAUACCACAUUAUGAGCUUUUCAAGGAGACUCAUAUGAUGAAAAAUAAAACUCGACUGAUGAAGAUGUCUGGAUUGAAACUCGUUCAAAAGUUGUCCAUGACGAAUAUAUGAGUCUUGUUGGUGUGUAUCAUAGUAGUCAGCCUCCUGAAAGUCAGGGUGACCCAAUAUCCCAACAUGUAGAGGAGGAGUUAUGGACAAAAGUUGUGGAUUCUGCAAAUAGAUGCCAUUUGAUCGAAUACCACAAAAACUUUUUUGGCGAUAAUGUUAAGUGUUCAUCCAACCCUUCUUACUCUAGCUCUUCAGUUGAUAGAGAAACGAUUGAAAAAGACUACGAAAUACGGUUUCUCAACUCACUGAAGAGCUUGCUGAACAGAGAGAGAGGCAGAAGAAGAUGGAGAAAGCAACAACAUCACAAUUCAAGAAGAUGCAGCAACAGUUGAGCUUUUUCAUUAGGACUGCGGGGAUUAUUUCUUCGUGUCCUGGUGAUGCGGUUCGGGCUGCAAAGGGUCUAGGUCCCCUGGAUGAUUUCAGCACGGAUGAUGAUAUGGAAGACGAGAACGAAUUCAAUGAUGAUGACUUUUAGUUUUU